GGAAUAUUGGGCAAUGGGCGCAAGCCUGACCCAGCGACGCCGCGUGGGUGAUGAAGGCCUUCGGGUUGUAAAGCCCUGUCAUGUGGAAAGAACAGUCCCGUGGUGAAUAUCCACGGGAUUUGACGGUACCACAGGAGGAAGCACCGGCUAACUCCGUGCCAGCAGCCGCGGUAAUACGGAGGGUGCAAGCGUUGUUCGGAAUUAUUGGGCGUAAAGGGCGCGUAGGCGGUUGUGAAAGUCAGAUGUGAAAUACUUCGGCUCAACUGAAGAACUGCAUCUGAAACUUCAUAACUCGAGUACAGGAGAGGGAAACGGAAUUCCCGGUGUAGAGGUGAAAUUCGUAGAUAUCGGGAGGAACACCAGUGGCGAAGGCGGUUUCCUGGCCUGAUACUGACGCUGAGGCGCGAAAGCGUGGGGAGCAAACAGGAUUAGA
rnacentral:rRNA from 1 species